GCCGAGGUCGCAUAGUCUGGUAUUGCGCAGGAUUGCUAAUCCUGUUCCUUUGGAAUCAUGGGUUCAAAUCCCAUCCUCGGCG
rnacentral:tRNA from 1 species